rnacentral:rRNA from 1 species
CCCUUAGAUGUUCGGGGCCGCACGCGCGCUACACUGAAGGAAUCAGCACGUCUUUCUCCUUGUCCGAAAGGACUGGGUAACCCGCUGAACCUCCUUCGUGCUAGGGAUUGGGGCUUGUAAUUCUUCCCCAUGAACGAGGAAUUCCCAGUAAGCGCGAGUCAUAAGCUCGCGUUGAUUACGUCCCUGCCCUUUGUACACACCGCCCGUCGCUACUACCGAUUGGAUGGUUUAGUGAGAUCCUCGGAUUGGUCCCGGCGCGGCCUCUGGUCGUGCUGGAGUGCCGAAAAGAAUGUCGAACUUGAUCAUCUAGAGGAAGUAAAAGUCGUAACA